GAGCAUACUUGACAGUUUCAAGAGCAGCGACAAUACGUUGGUUGUUGGUAAUUUUGCCUUCCUUCAAAGGAACAUUGAAGUCAACACUGAAAAGACAGAAACACUUUGUAGCAUUACAAGGGCAUUGUUACAUCAUGUCCUGCCAAAAAUAAAGGAAGAUUGUGACCAAGUUCUGGCCGACGAAUUAAGUUUUUGACGAGGACGGUGCAAGGGGUGUUAAAAUCCACCAAAUUUAGCUGUCACCUACCGGAUGAGCACUCGCUUGCCAGCCAAGCUCAGGGCAUCAAUGCUCAGUUUGUUCAACGCCAUUUCGCAAGUUUUAAUUCAAGCGAAGUUGGAAUUCAAAUGGAGCUGUCUCGUCAAGCACACUGCUGCAGACGGAAA